CAGCAGCGUGGAUCCUCAGACCGCAGCCCGCUAUGUGUACCGCGGCUUCUCCCUCCAAGGGAAAUCUGGGGGGCGGUGCGGGUGCCCGCAGACCGCGGCCAGACCACCAUCCUGCAGCCGAGCCGAGGGCACUGAAGGCAUGGCCCGUACGGACAGGCACUGCCCGAUCCCGUCUCCCUCGCUCUAACCUGAAACGUUGCCGCUCAGCCUCCCCUCCGCGCCCGGCGGGGGCUGCGAGCUCCUCCACCCCUUCGCUCAGCGGCGGCGUGGCUCGCAAAGCCGGCAGCGGGAGCGACCGCCGGCCCGGGCCGCCAUUUUGUGCGGGAGAAACAGACAAGCAACUGACAAGAAAAUGGCGGCCGCUCCGGGCAGCCGCCAUUUUAGGCUGCAGCUGCAGCAGUACCCGCUUAUUCCCGGCCCCAGACCCGCGCUUCUCCCGCCAUUCCCGCAUUUCUCACCUUCCCUAAGGCCUUGUCAGCUUCCCCGGGUCCCGGCGGCUACCAAGGGCAGGGGAAAAGGCAAGAGAAGGGGGGGGAGGGGAAGGGAGCCGGGGACCGGGGCUGGGGAGGGGAAGGGGGGAGCGCGCGGGACAGGGCGAGUCUCCGAGUCACCACAGCAGCAGCAGCACCGACCGGACGCGUCCCCCCGCCACCUCCAUAGAGCGCCGACCGCCGCCGCCGCGUCUCGGGCGCUCCCCGGCAGCCCCACUAACUUUAUCACCCUUCACGCAACCUACCCCACCUCCCGCCGCUACCCGCCAAUCGCCGCCGACCGCUCCACCCAUUCUGCCAAUCACAGCCGAGGAAGGGGGCGGUGCCAGGGCCGGGGUGGGCGGUGGAAGGAGGAGGUUUGGUUGCGCUGUGCCACCGCCGCAGUGCAGCACCGGUAUUCACGAACGCUGCUACGCCAGGGGCUGCCGGCGCCGCCGCGCACGGCAUCGAGGCCUGCGCAAGUGGCGCAGCCGCUGCAUGGCGGCCGCUCGGCUGCCGCGUCCCCGCGCCGUUUGCUGCCGAGCUGCAGCCCUCACAGAACGCCGGUGCUAGGGGCCUGCUGUGCGAGCUGCAGGCACGUUCACAGAAGGAUUCUAGCCAGUCUUUUUAUGAGAUUUUUGCUGCAAACUAUCUAAUUCUUUAAGAUG
rnacentral:lncRNA from 1 species